rnacentral:rRNA from 1 species
GCAAGUCGUACGAGAACACCCUAGCUUGCUAGGGUAAGUAAAGUGGCGCACGGGUGAGUAACGCGUGGGUAAUCUACCUUCGAAUUGGGGAUAACGUUGCGAAAGCGACGCUAAUACCGAAUAACAUCCAUUAAUCUUCGGGUUUUUGGAUCAAGGGUGGCCUCUACAUGUAAGCUACUGUUUGAAGAUGAGCCCGCGUACCAUUAGCUUGUUGGUGGGGUAAUGGCCUACCAAGGCUUCGAUCCCUAGCUGGUCUUAGAGGAUGACC